GAUUUGGUGGCCCAGUCCGUAGUGCAUGAGACUCUUCAUCUGAGGGUCGUGGGUUCCAGCCCCACUUUGGACA